GGAGCAUGUGCAGGAGAGAGCUACACCCAACUACAUGUGGCCACCGAAGGCGCAGACACCCUUAAAUCGCUCAGGUAUCAGGGACUGCACAUUGAAA
rfam:Neisseria mucosa C102 genomic scaffold supercont1.3, whole genome shotgun sequence.